CUGGUUGAGAAAGGUUAUGAACUAGUUUCAGGUGGUACUGAGAACGACCAUGUUUUGGUGAAUUUAAAGAACAAGGUAACCAAGGCAACCCUUUUUUUUUUUAGAGAAGCUUUAAAAGCUAUGAAGCAUAGGUGCGUUUCGAGACUCGGGUGCAAGUGCGGGACUCAGCAAUUUUUGAAAAAGUAGGAUGCAGAUGCGGAACCCCGGCUCUUACUUUUAGGGGAUUUGUUGAGGAGGGUUUUGCUAAGGUAGCAGAAUUCUUUGAUGCUUCUGUGAAGUUGGUGGUUAAGAUCAAGGUAGAAACCAAAGCUCAACCCUUGCCGUCCUUGUCACUGGCCUCACCAACUCCGGCCUCACCAUCCUCGUCACCGGUGCCGCUAGCUUCGUCGGAACCCAUGUCUCCAUGGCCCUGAAGCGACAAGGCGAAGGGGUUUUGAAUGGGUCUAUUCGUUGACUUGAAUGGGUCUAAGGCCGAUCGGGGUGGGUGAUGAUCUUGGGUCUUGAAUGGAUCUUGGGUCUGUUCGCCGACUUGAAUGGGUCUAGGGCCGAUCGGUUUUUUUAUCUUGAAUGGGUUUCUGAUCUUGUGUUGGUGGUUGGGUCUGAGAGAGAGAUUGGGGUAGUGAUGAUGGUGGUUAGGUCUGAGAGAGAGAUCGGGGUAGUGAUGAUGAUGGUGGUUGGGUUGGGUCUAAGAGAGAGAUUGGGGUAGUGAUGAUGAUGGUGGUUGGGUUUGAGAGAGAGAGAAGCAGUGAAGAAAAUAAUAAAAAAUUGUAAAAGAAUGAAUAUUUUAUUGAAUAAAUGUGUAGAAUAGAUAAACUGAUGUGGGAGUUUUGUAAAAAUAGAUGUGUAAAAUAGAAAAAGUAGUUUUUUUGUGUAAAAUAGAUGGAAAAUUUGCAUCCACAAUGGAUGCUCUUAUAUAGGGUUAAUUGUGAUGUAAA